rnacentral:snRNA from 1 species
UCCAUGUGCGUCCCUCCCGAAGCUGCGCGCUCGGUCGAAGAGGACGACCUUCCCCGAUAGAGGCGUACCGUUCAUCGGUCAAGGGUAUACGGUAGCUGCGCUCCCCUGCUAGAACCUCCAAACAAGCUCAAGGUCCAUUUGUAGGAGAACGUAGGGUAGUCAAGCUUCCAAGACUGCAGACACAUCCAAGUGAGGCACUGCAUGGGGCAGUCUGCCAUUGUUU